GUUUCUGUAGUGUAGUGGUUAGCACGUUCGCUUAACACGCGGAAGUUCCCCGGUUCGUAACCGAGCGGAAACA